rnacentral:rRNA from 1 species
GUCCCGUUCGACAGGAGUUUACGACCCGAAGAUCUUCGUCCUCCACGCGGCGUUGCGUCGUCAGGCUUGCGCCCAUUGCGAACAAUUCCCCACUGCUGCCUCCCGUAGGAGUCUGGGCCGUGUCUCAGUCCCAGUGUGUCCGUCCGCCCUCUCAGGCCGGAUACUGAUCGUAGCCUUGGUGAGCCAUUACCUC